rnacentral:tRNA from 1 species
UGGGGUGUAGCUCAGUGGUAGAUCAUUUGCCUAGGACACACAAGGCCCUGGGUUCAGUCCCCAGUACCACAA